UCUCUCCAGCCCGAAUAGAGGAGGACCGGUCUUCGGUCAAGGGUAUACGAGUAGCUGCGCUCCCCUGCUAGAACCUCCAAACAAGCUCUCAAUUGCUUUUGAUCAUGUUUUAUCACAGC
rnacentral:sRNA from 1 species